GUAGGUGGCGAGCGUUAUCCGGAUUUACUGGGUGUAAAGGGAGCGUAGACGGCAAGGCAAGUCUGAUGUGAAAACCCAGGGCUUAACCCUGGGACUGCAUUGGAAACUGUCUGGCUCGAGUGCCGGAGAGGUAAGCGGAAUUCCUAGUGUAGCGGUGAAGUGCGUAGAUAUUAGGAAGAACACCAGUGGCGAAGGCGGCUUACUGGAUGGUAACUGACGUUGAGGCUCGAAAGCGUGGGGAGCAAACAGGAUUAGAUACCCUGGUAGUCCACGCCGUAAACGAUGAGUGCUAGGUGUUGGGGAGCAAAGCUCUUCGGUGCCGCCGCAAACGCAUUAAGCAUUCCACCUGGGGAGUACGUUCGCAAGAAUGAAACUCAA
rnacentral:rRNA from 1 species